AUUGAACGCUGGCGGCAUGCCUUACACAUGCAAGUCGAACGGUAACAGGUUAAGCUGACGAGUGGCGAGCGGGUGAGUAAUGUAUCGGAACGUGCCCAGUCGUGGGGGAUAACUGCUCGAAAGAGCAGCUAAUACCGCAUACGACCUGAGGGUGAAAGCGGGGGAUCGCAAGACCUCGCGCGAUUGGAGCGGCCGAUAUCAGAUUAGGUAGUUGGUGAGGUAAAGGCUCACCAAGCCGACGAUCUGUAGCUGGUCUGAGGGGACGACCAGCCACACUGGGGACAGAACCCCGCCCAAGCCCCUAAGGGGGGCAGCCAUGGGGAUUUUGGAGCAAAGGGCGGAAGCCUGAUCAAGCCAAGCCAGGUGGGGGAAGAAAGCAGUAGGUUUGAAAACCGCUUUUGGCAGGAAAGAAAAGGUUUUGGCUAAACCCUGGGAACCGUAACGGUACCUAAAAAAAAAGCACCGGCUAACAACGG
rnacentral:rRNA from 1 species